rnacentral:rRNA from 1 species
GCCUAAAAUCUAGCCCCACCCACUCAUAUGCCUCUUUCAAUCAAUCAACUAAAAAUAAACCAUUUUAACUUCUUAGUACAGGCGAUCGAAAAAUUUCUAUGGCGCUUAAAAUUCAGUACCGCAAGGGAAUAGUGAAAUAAUAAUGAAACAACCUUAAAGCUUCAAAUAGCAGAGAAUUAACCUCG